rnacentral:rRNA from 1 species
CGGACGGGUGAGUAAUGUCUGGGAAACUGCCUGAUGGAGGGGGGUAACUACUGGAAACGGUAGCUAAUACCGCAUAACGUCGCAAGACCAAAGAGGGGGACCGUUCGGGCCUCUUGCCAUCGGAUGUGCCCAGAUGGGAUUAGCUAGUAGGUGGGGUAACGGCUCACCUAGGCGACGAUCCCUAGCUGGUCUGAGAGGAUGACCAGCCACACUGGAACUGAGACACGGUCCAG